CAUCAGGUGCAAACAGACAAAGAAGCAGACGCCGUGCCUCACCUGUGAACUCAGAGGACGACGAACAGUUCAUCCCCUGGUCUUUUCAGAAAAGUGACAUCAUGGCAACCAAAACAGCUGAAGAUUUCAAGAAACCAGAAGAUAGCAGCUCUGACAUCAAGGAC